CAUGGCUCAGGAUGAACGCUGGCGGCGUGCCUAAUACAUGCAAGUAGAACGCUGAAGCUUGGUGCUUGCACCGAGCGGAUGAGUUGCGAACGGGUGAGUAACGCGUAGGUAACCUGCCUCUUAGCGGGGGAUAACUAUUGGAAACGAUAGCUAAUACCGCAUAAAAGUCGAUAUCGCAUGAUAUUGAUUUGAAAGGUGCAAAUGCAUCACUAAGAGAUGGACCUGCGUUGUAUUAGCUAGUUGGUGAGGUAACGGCUCACCAAGGCGACGAUACAUAGCCGACCUGAGAGGGUGAUCGGCCACACUGGGACUGAGACACGGCCCAGACUCCUACGG
rnacentral:rRNA from 1 species